UGGAAGACAAAUCCAAAGGAAAUGAAACUCUUUUUGUUCUAAUACUAUGCUAGGAUAACCAGCUAAUGACAUUGACACUGUUGAGGACAGAGAUGGCAGGAGUCUGCAAACAUCAUCUAGCAAGUAGCAAGAUUCUGUGAUGGAGGAGUUGGUUGUUUGAUGAGUUUAAAUGUUGCAGUUCAUUUCAAUUCACCACAGGCUAUGGAAUAGAUCAAGAUGAAGACUAGUCCCUACCCCUGGAGUUAUUGAAGGUGUGAUGCUGAGUAGAAGAGAAAGUGAGACUCAGGGCACUGGAGCAAGACUGGUCCAGAUGGGGAUUUACCCAGGACAGCUUAGGGUGCGAUUCAGCUACCAGAGCAUGAACACAUGGUGUUGCAGUUCAUUGGCGACACAAAGCUGGGAGGAGUGGCCAAUAACCCAGAGUGCUGUGCAGCCCUUCAGAUCUCGACUGGUUGGAGAGAUGGGCAGAGAAGAACCAUCUGAAAUUCAACAAAGGCAAGUACAAAGUUCUGCACCUGGGGAAGAUUAACCCCGGGCACCAGCACAGGUUGGGGGCUGACCUGCUGGAAAGCAGCUCUGUGGAGAAGGACGUGGGGGUCCUGGUGAACAACAAGCUGUCCAUGAGCCAGUCUUGUGGCCUAAUAGACCAGUGAUAUCUUGGGGUGCAUUAGGAAGAGCAUUGCCAGUAAGUCAAGGCAGCUGAUCCUGGCCCUAAAUGGACCCUAGUUCUAAAAGCAAUUUUAGUAGUUUUGCUCCAUAUUGUAUCAAUAUCUUAUAUAGCUGAAGUUGGGACUAGCUCCAGGCUACGGGGUUAGACAGUACUGCUUAGUGUGAUAGUUCUGUCAGCCUUGUGUAAACAAUCCAUCUGUGCCCUGAUAGAUUUUUGCACUGAGGUUUAGGAUUUAUUCAGCUCUUGUUUUCCUCACACAGACAAGUUUUUGCCAGCUUGGGACAGCUGAAACUGACACAAUGAUCACAGUAACCUGUUUUGAUUCAUAUUUAAAUUUUUCCGUAGCUCUGUUUAUGAUUUUAUCACUGUUUUCAGACAUAUUAUAAGCUACUAUGCAAAAUCCCUGGUUUGUUUUGUUUUGCUUUGCUUUGUUUUGUUCUUUCCCCAGACAUUUAUCUGCUGUUUUGUUAGAAUACAGUGUUUAGUCUCCCACUGGCAUUUAGUCUUUAAUGACACUGCGAAUAAAACAUAGCAAAUGUUUAGAAUCCACUGUACAAUAAUUCAUCUGAAAAUAGCUGUCAUACACUGCAGAUACAAUCAGCUAGGUCAGUGACCAUCUACUGGCCCUCAUUUGUUUUCUGAUGGUCACCAGAGGUCAAUUCAACAAAGUCCCCAUUGAUGCCUCUCUAUCCGUUUAACUUUCACUACUACAGGAACAAGACUCCAAGCAUACACACAAAAAAGAGAAGGAAGAAUGUGCUCAUUGUGGUUCAACCGGAAUUCACAAAUACAGAAAAGAUCCUCUCAACUGGCUGUUUCCUCCUGCAACUUGACUUCCGAAAUAGGGCUACCUUUUCAUACAAGACACAACAACAAAAAUGCAAAAAAAUCUCACCAGAAAGCAUGUGACUUCCAGAAUUGCCUGUAGCUUUCCUGGCACUGGGUUGAGAAAUAUUUCUUCAUCUCAUGUUACAUAAUCAUCCUUGACGCACUGUUUGUUCCAGCUCAGUGCUGUUUUCAUCAGAUAGGAACCACAAAUCUAGUGGAAUACGAGGAGUGUCCCCCUGAUGGUGUAUGGGGGAUUUUUGUGGCUCUUUUUUUUUUUUAAGUUUCAAAAUUAUGAAAGGUAUUUAAAAAUAUGUGCUGAAACAGAAAACUUUUGAAAUCAUAAUUCUUAUUAGCUAAUGUUCUUCUUCAUAGCACAUAUUUCCUGUCUUUUUCCAGUAAGCCCACUGAUUACAGCACAGUGAGAUCUCAUUUGAAUGAAUGAAAGGAAGAACUAUGUAAUGAAAGAAUGAAUGUAUAUUUGACAUAACAGACCCCUAGGAUAAAUUCAAUUUACUUUAAUAAAAUUACUCCAGGGAAUAAUUUAUCCCGGAAUGCUUCAAUGACACACUCUAAGAGAUUUACUACAAACCCCAUGAAGUUCAUGCAACUUUUCCAUUGAUUUCAGUGGGUCUGGAUCAAGUUUCAUAAGGACUAAAUAACUGUUUAUUACUUCUUUUUUUCUUUUUUAUUCGCAAAGUAAAUAAUUUUGUGCAGGUAAACACCUUCACUGGAUAAUCACUCCUUGAACCUUGGUAUCUGUCACUGCUGUCUCUUCUGACUUCUUGGAAAGUGUCUCUCCAGUCAUCCUAUCAAAUUCUGACUUCUGUCUGUCCACUUUUCUGUAAUGUUCCGUUGCUCAGGCAUAUUCUCACUUUUCUUCCUUAGACUAAAACUAAAUGAAUCCUUCUUUCCUUCUGCUUUGUGGAAGAGAACAUCACGAUCCCCUUCACAGUUAACUUUCUGGUCCUUGUGAUUUCCCUGCUGUCUCUGAUGCUGUCCAACAUUGAGUCAGACCUCUGUCCAGGAAAUAUUCCAACUGCAGUGAGGAUUACUCCAAAUUUCAUAUAGGAAUCUUUCUCUUACACAUGCUCAAGGAGUCUUACAAUAUCCUUCGUGUUCUUUCAUUUAAUUUUCUAAUGAUUGAUUUCUUCAUCUUUUUUGUCACCAUAUCACAACCUGUACUUAACAUUCCACUGCUUAUGUUUUGCUUCGUCCAUGGAAAGUCUUAGACUGAAUGCCAUUACAUACCUAGAGUAGCAGCUGAUCACAGUGCCUCGAAAGAACAUGAAAAGCCAAGUUUAACCUGACUCAUAGCCUGGUCACUGGUUGUCCUGUUGUUCCCAUGUGGAGAGAAUAAAUUGGGUCAAUUUAUGAAUUAUCACAGAUUGUUCUCUCAUCUUCACAUUCCCCUUUAAACGUAAGGAUGUAUUUAGUGAAGUUUAUAGGAUGUGUGUCUUGUGCCUGAUACUUAAUAUUUUCCCUAAAAUAUCAUGAAAGGUAGAUAAAAAAGGAAGUUUACCGGAUUUUCAGAUAAAAUCGGAUUUUAAAGGUCUGAAAACACUUUUUGAGAUAGGGCCAGAAUUCAAAAUAAUUUUGGUUAUUUGAAGAAAUGACUUGGAGAAAAACAUGGCAUCUCUGUAAGAACUAGACCAAAUUACAUCAUUGGAAAGAAUAAUCUAGGUAAGACAGGAAGGGGUAAACAAGUGGAACUUUACAAGAGAUGACAAAAAUUGAGUUAAAGUCUGCCUGCCCAGACAACAUACUCCACAUGCAAGCUAUUACAACCAAAGGCAAUGGUUUUGAAUUUCAACAAGGGAAUUUCAUUUAAGAUAUCAAGAAGAGGUUCCUAACAAUAAAGGUAAUGAAACACUGAAAUAGAUUAUGUGGGAUGAUCAUGAAAUCUCCAGUUUUGAAGGUCUUUCAGAAUAAAUUAGACAAACUGUCAGGAGUACCAUAGGUAGAACUUAUCCUUUCUGGGUCAGGGAGGCAGACUGAGUGAUCUUUUGAGGUGUUUUCUAGCUCAGUCACUUCAGUUAUGUCUAGGAAUAUUCUGGCCUGUUUGUGUAGACUUUGAGCUGCUGAAUCUAAGGCUUCAUUUACUUCUUCUUGCUGUUCCGUCAUGCCCCAUGUACCAGCAUGAGAUAGGUAAAAGAACCAUGCAAAACAGGAUAUUCAGACCUCCAAUUUCUGCAGGAGGGAACAUCAAUCAGAAAAGAAAUUUAAAAGACACUCUUAAAAAUAUCAUUAAUAUUUACAUAAAUAUUUAACAAUAUAACACAUAAAGACAGAAUAUGUUUACCUGAUGCAAGCCCACUGCAGUAAGAGAAAUAAUGUGAUUACCAGUCUGUUUAAUUGUUAAUCUCUGUGAAGUACUCCACUGCAUAUUAUAUGAGUACGUGGGAUACAAUUUGACACUUUGAAAUGGCAGUGUUGCAUUGUUUCUUUGGGAAAUCUAAGACUAUAUCAAGGAAAACUGAUAAUACCUAGAGAAGUACAAGUAAUCUUUGAGGGAAAAAAGAAUAAAAAUGGAAGACUACGUAAGCAGACCGACAAGCAAGUAUUUUGACUUACAUCACCAGUGCUAACAGCUGGCAAUUAAAGCCAAACUCUACUUGAAAAAUACCAUGAAGUUAUUAAAGUGUUUUACCAUGUUUUUCCAUGUAGUGGAAUCACAAAGGCACAGAUUUGAGUAGGCCAGUGCUUCUUUUUUUGUUCCUUGAAAUAUUUUAUUUUUAUCCAAGAUGGCAUAGCCAUUUUGAGUAAAAGAAACUUUCCCUCUUUAUUAUAACUAUUUUCUUUAUGUAGCAGAAUACCUGAAAGAAAAGAGCUUCUGUUUUAUAGACAAUUCCUGUGGCUAUAUUCAGAUUAGGAGAAUACUUCUAUAAAAGAUAUUUAGGUCUUACUAGAGAAUGACUUUUCUGAACUUCUCUUUCACUCUCACUCUUGCAUAAUCACUCUUCAAGGACAAGUUUUCUGCCAAAGAUUCAAGUAAACUGAAGAGAGUGGUGGUUGCAAAGGGAAUCAUAUUGCAGCUGGUGUCAUCAGAAGGAAUUCUAGCUGAGUCAUCCUUCUGCUUUCCAGGGUAGAUGCACCAAAAACAAUAGCUUCAUCACCCUUGGAGAGGGUCCUCACCAGUUCACACCAUCAGGACAUCAUGCAGCCCAGCUAUCCACCAGGGACUAUUGCACUGUUUUUAGACAGUUAACCAAGGAGUCAACCUGAAGCCCUAAGUUCUCAAAACCUCUAUGUUUGCUUUUUACAGAAACUGAAGUCCCUGGGCCUCAGAGUGUGCCUACAUGGUGCCAUGCAAUGGCAUAUGAUGGCUCUGAAUGAAUUCACUCAGUCGCCAGCGGUUUUAUGAACCAAAAAUGUAACUCAGUCAGAACUCUCUACUAACUUGAAUUGCUUCCAGUAUCGUAGAUGGAUUGCUUAGGGUUGGCUCAGAUAGUUGUGCACAACACUGCAUUAUUUCUACCACUAGCAAAAAGUCACACACCCUACCCUUUUCUAAAAGGAUGAGGGCACAGCAUGUGUUCUCUGAACUGUGUUUACCUAGAACAAUGCACGGGAAAAUAAUAAUAAAAUUCACUGUUGGCACUAUUAUUUUCUAAGCAGGCAAACAAAAUUAUGAUUAAUAAUAGACUGAUUCUGAUUUACGUGCACUGAACACCUGAGCAAUAGGUUCUUACACAGGGCAAAAAUUCAUUUCCAAAACCCAUUAAAAUCAUAUAGCAAGGUGAUUUCUACAUAAAUAAAUGAAUUAAAGAAAUGUAAGCAAAUAAAUAUAGCAGUAUACCAGGGCAAGACAUGCACAAAUCAGUAGCUUUCCUUGGAUUUUAAGCCAGGCUUCAACUGUUAAAGUCACGUUGGUGAAUUUAGAUGCUAGAAAAUUGAUUGCAGUGACUAUUAACAAUAUUAAUCAAAGUGCUUCAAUUUACAUGCUCUGUUCUUGUCCUGGGGACUACACACUGACAGUAAGGAUAUGUCAGUGUUGUCCCUGCUGCCCAUGGAAGGCAUUUAAUAGUGUCAUACAUGUAAAUUAUAAUAGUUGUAUGCCAUGAGGUUCAGCUUUUAUAGGCUGCUCUACUCACUUUUUCUGCUGCACCAGUGCAGAACUGCACAACACAGAGGCACAGAGGAGAGAUUACAGAGAUAGAUGAAUAACCCAGGGUUAACAGUUCUCAUUUCUAAACUUUAUUUGCACUGAACACGAAGAGUAGGAUGCUUGCACUAUAAGCAGGUGUCUGUAAUGCUGUCCUUCACUUCUUUGAGAAGGAGGUCUCUAUGUUAUCUGUGGGGCAACAAUUCUCUUGGUCAACAGAUCCCUUUUUCCUCUGGGAAAAGUCAUGUACCACCUUCAAGUAGAGCCAGAAAAUCAAGCCAGCUCUCUGAUAUUAGGACAUUCUAAAGGGAAGGCCUGAGAAGUGGGCCAAUUUUAUUUGCUCAGCUGACGGCAUGAUGGGAGUUGCUGUUAAAAGGAGCCUAUAAAAAGGUCCUCCAUAUUCCCUGCCAAAUACUCCUAUCAGUCUUCCAUGAGUUCACAUCAGGUCACUAUGAGAUUCCUUUCAUCUCAUAACACUGAACUCAUUAGUUUCCAUGACUGAUCUGAAACAGUAGCAUGUAUGGAAAAAACCCUAAAUUUAGAUGUAUGACUAAUCUGCUUUUGUUUUCCCUUUCCUGGAUCCUCUUUCACAUACAAAGUGGAAGUUCAGCUUUGCUGCAAAACAUCAUUUUGCUUGUUAUAUUUCCAGAACAUUGGCCUUAUAUCUGGUGUUCUUUGUUCAUAUUGACACUAAUUGAUAGUAGCAGGGCUGUGACACUGCAGUAAGUUUUCCCACAGUAGAGGCAAAGGCACUGCAGGUUAGGCUGCCAGCCAAGCCAGUUAAUGCUUCCCUUUGCAUUCUUUUCAGCUCCCCAGAGAAGAGCUAUUUUACAGAUACCUGGCACUUAAAGGUCCAGGACAUUAUUGCCUCUGUUGUUGUUGUUAAAAUACUUACCUAGAAAUGGUGUCAAUGUACAAUCAUAUUUCAGAAGCUGUAGCACAUGAAGGAAAAAGAAUCUGAAAGGCUUCAGCUACACAGUUUGUCAUUAAAGCUUUAAACUAAUUUAAUUCAAACUAUAUUUGACCAAUUUAAAAAAUGACAACAAAUGUACUGUUUGACCUAGGACUCAUAAGACAUAGUAAUGAAAUGAAUAGAGUAUAUUUUCCUGUGUGCAGGUAGCAGCUCCACACAAUAUCAGCUGAAUGUACGACAAACUUAUUCUUCUGCCUUUUACUGUCCCUGCCUGUACUGCAGUUCCUAGGAAAAAAAGGGAAGUGAGAAUAAAUGGCUACCUGGAUCAUACAGCUGUUAAUGAACUUGAUGUGCCCCAUUUCACAUAACUGAGGUUGUUUAUUAGUCACUGCCCUGUUAUCUGCAUAUGCAGAUUUGUGUGAGUGUCCUCAGAAUAACUCUAGUAGAAAAAGAGUCUCAAAGCAUAAGCAUCAAGUCAUGUGAUGCCUUUUUAUUUUUGUUUUCCCAUCCCUUAGAUAAAAAUUUGAGGAUAUAAAAUUUGACCUACUUCUUUUCUGCCUGACCUGAAAAGGCAUUUACAAACACAAAACAGACUAUUUUUCUCCCAGACAAUCAAAUUCUGGAUAAGUUCCCAAAGUCAAAUAAAGAGAUUCCCCAGAGUAUAAUAUAAAUAUUGACAUAAUAGAAUUAAUCUGCAGAGGAAAAGGGGAUCCAUAUUCAAAGGUCAGUCUUCUAGUAAUCCUAAACCACACCACUCCCGGAAAGGGCGCAGUAGGUAUUAAACACAGAGAACUGAAAAAUCAGUUCUAGAUUCUAUACCUGAUCAGUGGGGAAAGUAAUUUUUCUCUUUCAUGGCUUUUACAUCCAAGGCUAUUCUGUUUCAGCAGCAACAUGCAAGAACCAGGGCAAACUUGAAAUAUAAUAAAAUCUAAUAAAAGACAUGGAACUGAUCAGAGAUAAAAAUGAGCACAAAAAUAAAAGUAUUAAAAAUCAUUCACCUUCUCAUCUUAGUAGAUUUCUCCUUUCUACAAACCUCUGUGUUUGACUUUUAAAAUCCUUGGGUGUCAAGUGUUCUUGUACAGACUGCCCCAGCCAGAGUAGCUUAGUCUCUAAUGCUCCCUUCCUGAAGCUGGGAUAUAGCUACUAGUCAUCAUUUUGCCUAAAUCUUCAGGGAGGUGUGAAGGAGUGUAACCCAGUAAAUGGACUUCAAAUAUAUCCAUAUUAAGACCCUCCAGAAAUGCGUCCAUAAACAGCAUCUCUUUGAAAGAAUGGGUGUUGGGACAGCCCCCUCCAACACACACACACGCUCAUACACAUGCACACAGGGACAGGCUCCCUAUUUCUCUUUUCUAUAAGUCUGCCAAGUGAUUGGAGAUUUUUCAACAGAUGUAAGACAAAUUCUUUCCUCAGGCAGGCAGGGAGCUAGUUGUGCAGUUCUGCAUUUUACCCAGGGCUAUUCAUGGUAAGAUACGUGAGCCUAUGGGGAGGGACAGGCACCCCAGGCACCCUUUUUCCAGGGCAGAGGCUUAGAUCCAGCCAGCAUUGCAAUCUUUACCCACACAAAGUCCUGCCCUCCCACCUAAGAUUUGGAGACUAUCUCCCUCUGCUCUUGUUCAUGAUUGAGAUUGUCCUGGGAGAAGGGAAAUGUAGGGGGAUGUAUAAUUCUAAGAGGAUAUAUAAUUCUAAUUGGGACUCCUACAGUCACACAAAACAAACUCAUGUAUAGCACUGCUAGUUAUCCUCAUGACCUAUUGACAUAGCUUGGGUCACCUUCUGUGCAGUUUAGACAAGACCAUAUUUGCCCACAUCCUCAGUCUCAUACUAUAUAUAGGCACUGCUCUGAUGGGUCACAUCACAACUUCUGCAUUUAUUCAGGCACUUCCAGUGGGAAAUAAAUGAACUUCAAAAGAAAAGAUUCCAUAUAGGGCUUUAGGAAUACCACUGUUGGCCAGAAAGAGAUUCAGAGCCAAGUGGUCUUUUAUGUGGACAUGAUCAGUUUGUGCAAGUUGGUCUUAGAGACACAUAGCAGUCCCAUGCACUGCUUUGCUUUGCCAUCUAGACCUGGUUGAUGUCUCCCAGUUGUGACUGAGUGUUUCCAUCCUGAAACUAUCCCUUGAAAAAAGCAAUGUGUCCAUCUAUACAGCUAUACCGUUUUAUAUGAGCAGUUCCUGCCCAGUUCUUUGAAACUGUCCAUGUGCCUACUCUCUAGAAAAGGUGUGAUAGGAAGAGAGAGUCAUGACUUCCUGCAUCUCUAAAUGAGGAGCUCAGCUUCGGAGGAGGGAUCAGCUUUCUCUAUUUGACAGCUGUCCACCUUUGAGUGAAUUUUUCCUAAGGGGACUACCUUGACUUCUGCAUUCAGUCUAGAACUUCAGUGCCCUUGACUGGGUCUGGGUCACCUUCUUGGUCUGACUACUAAAAUACUAGCUGCCUUAGCAUCCAAGGUCAAGUCAAUGCAAUCAAUUCUUUCAUCAGGUCUAAAUUUGCAGAGAACACUAGGAACUAAGAACAGUGACAGCAGGAAGAAACACUAAGACAGUAAUGCAGCUCAGUGUUGGCUUUGGUUUCACCAGCCUUCAUGCUGCUCCAUGCGUUGCUGACAUUUAGCAGCCCCUUAGAAGUGAGUGUGCAGGUGGCGGCCUAGCAGAAGACAAUGGGGGAGUUUCCCCCAUCUGUAAGCCAAAACCCCAGGGCAACAUGUGUGUUGGUGAACUCUACCUCUUCUAACUGGAGUUUCCCCUUCAGUAGAGAAAUCCAAAGCUUCUUAAGGAAUGCAUUUUUCCAGCUCCUAGGAGCAACCAGAGUAAUUUUUUUUUCUCUUACAGUGAGGAUUAAUUAAUUAUCCUCUGAAAAUAUCCCCUUCAUUUUAUUUGGGGCUUUUAUUGGGUUCUGGUUUUAACUGUCUUUCCCUUAUCUCAUUUAUCUCCACUACUUUUGUUGCAAAAAUAUUGUUCCUCCUGACAGUUUGUUACUGAUCUAUUUAUACUAUCCCAGUGUUUGGGAAAUGUUUAGGGUGAUUAGGUAACUAUAUCACAGAAUUCCCAUGGGGCAUGUGUCUGUUAUAUAUAUAUCAUCCCACCUCCUCUUGGUAUCUUAGUACUGAAUUAUGGCAGUGUCAUGUGGGGCAGUUGUCCCUCCACCUUGUUGCCAGGCCUGCUCAGAAACAGAUACAGUGGAGACACACGAGUGAGGAAGAGGCUCUACAUGCUGCUUUUUCAAGGAGAGAGUUGAGGCUGCAAACUAGUGUAUUAAUCCAGUACACUCAGAGUCAUCAACUACCUGAUCCAUUGAAAGUUUGAGGGAGAUUCGUUUUUUUAAGAAAAGGAAGAACACAGUUGAAUGCAGAAUCUGGCCUCUUUUAUCAGGUGUGUGUUGAUAAACAGGUGUAAACACAAGCCCUUCUGUCUUCCUGGUCAUCAGCACUUUCUGGAAAUUGAAUUUACUGCAAAAUUUAUAACCUUCAGCAGAAGACUCGGAAAGGAAGGACUAAAUUCACCAACACCUUGGUGUUAUUUGAAGUACAAUGAUCUUUCCUAGGCACAGGGAGUCAUUGUCUUCAUCACUUCUGAGGAAAGCUGGGUGGAAAGACAUACACAUAUAUGAACAUACUGUAAUUGUAAAAAUUUCAAAUUGAGAUCCACUGUGGAGGAUAUAACCAUCCUUCAAAUUUUGUGGACAUACUGGGUUUUUUUGUUAUGUUUAAUAUUUUUUGAGACUAAGCUUUGUUCCAAACUAGCUGCUGAUGACAGGGUUUUAGGAGGUCAUAUUUUACUGAGCUACCACAAGGAAAGCAUGACAACAAUGAGAAAAAUGAGCACAACAAGAUCUUUGCUACUGCACAAAUAUUUUAUUUUUCUUUCAAUUUGGCAGAAAACAGUGUAUGGCAAAAAGAAAGUGGGGAGUGUGACAACAAAAUGGGAUAAACCGAGGAAAUUCAGGAACAGAAUAAGUUCUUACAUAUUUGUAUUUGCCUUUCAGGUACUUAUUUUGCAGGAAGAUUACUCCCUUCUCAGUUAUUAGUGAGUAAUAGCCAGGGGCCAAAAGUGUCUAAAGAUUUUUGAAUACUUGGCAUAAUGUUUUUCAGACUUUUAACUUCAUGUCUAAGUAAUAUAUUUUCAAGUAGAUCAACAUUAUUUAAAAGUAUGUUUUAACAAUUGUUCAACAAUUUUGCCUUAAAAAAUGUUCUUCUUCCUUUAAAUCCAGAAUACAUAAUUUUAAUAUUUUUUGAAAGAUGCAUUUCUACUUUUCUAUCUGGAAAUGGUCAUUUAGAGAUUGAAGCAUCAAACAACAGAUUAAAAAAAAAAAAGAAAUUAUAUAAAAAUUUUAAUUGACCUGAAAUUAUGCUAACAAUGCUAUUAUCAGCUAUACUUUAAGGAGAGGUUCUGCAAAGCAAAGCAAGAAGUAUGGGGUUUUUUAAUCAUGAUUAUUUUGACCUAGGAAUAUUUUUUUACCCAUUUCUGAAAGUAAAAUGAAAAAAAAAUGGUAUAUUUAACAAUUUGGUUUUGUUUGCUAUCAAGAAUAGCAAGUGCAUUUGAUUAACAGUUCCUUCCCUCAAUAGUCAGAUUCAAAGCAGCGGAAAAGAAAAAAACCCUAUAAAUUAUGAAUCAGGAGAGUAGGUUUUGUUUACACCAACAGAUUCACAAAAUAAGUUUCUGCUUUCCAGCUGUAAACUUCAAGAAAAAGAUAAGUAAAUGCAUCAGUGUAUCAUUUAUCUUGUGUCUGAAAUGAAAAUUAGGUUUAAUAGGAAAAACAAACGUACCAUCUUCUGCUUAGGAAGUAAAAAACAAUCCAUUAUACCAUAAUGUUAUUUGUUUGAGGAUUAUGAGGCAGUAUAAUUCUUUAACAAGAUCAUGCUGUGCACUGUUGAUGUGGAGAACAUUGCUAAUUCCAUUUCGUCUGGUCUCCCACACAACAUAACUUGUGACAAAAUAGUGGUGUUGUUUUGUUUCUGGAGAAGUCACUUGUUGGUAUAAGUGACUUUAACCCCUUCAAGCAAUAAAAGAGAAAAAAUACUGAUGAACCUGUGUCAUCUUCCUAUGAAUAGAGAGCACUGUCAAUGAUACCGUGUGGUCAGCUACAGGAAAUUCGUUAACUGUAUUUCCAUUCCAUCAGGGAUUGAGGCCAAAGAAAGCAUGAAAUGCAUCUUUGCCGUCAAAAUACAACAGAAAAAAGGAAACUGUCUACGCAGGUAUGCUCAUCACGUGUCCCACAUCUGGAAAAGACUUGAAGCAGUUUCUAGCACAAACAUCUUUGCCCUCCCACAGUGUCAACAAGAACCAUUAUCUGUAGGCUAUUUCUUGAAUAAGUUUAAUGGUAAUGUUGGAGGGGAAUUCAUAUAAGCUGUGCUGGCAGGAGGGCACUAAAAUGGGUGCAGAAGUUCUAAUGGGAUGCAGAAUGCAAGCAACUGUAUGUCAACAUGCUGUUUCAUAAUGUUUGUUUAGGUCUGCACAUGCUCCUGUCAGGUUUUUGUACACCUCAGAGGCUUUUCAGCCAGAUUUGUAUUGCUACAUUUAUUUCUUUGAUGCCUGAAGGAGAUAUAGGUGAAAUCCCAAAAUCGAAGGUAAAUAUUGUAUGCACAUUGCAUAUCUGAUAUGCAACACUGAUAAGCCCAUAGCACAUCAGUCCUAACAUGGCAUGCAGUUCAGGUAAGAAGUUCAGAGUCAGAACUCCCAGAAAGUGUUUAAAGUGGAAGGGUUUCUUCCAGCCUUGGAAAAGUCAAGCAAAUGCCACAGAAGUUUAAUCUAUGCUUGUGAAGACAGACUUGUAGGAUCUCCUAUUAAUGGGCCCCUGUCCAUUCCAUAGUCAGGUGGUAAAUACCCUCUUGUGGUUUUUUCGACAUCAGAUUACACAUUCUGCAAAUCUUAAAGAUAGAUCCUGCUGCAGUACAGCUGCUGACUCAGACUGCAGGGAGAUUGGGUAUCUGUUUACAGAGACAACGUGGAGCUGAUGGGAUGACCCAGUGACAUAUUGGAGUUCAUCUGGGGGAGUAGGGCUUGAAGUGACAUUGCAUGUGUUACACUCCCAUGCUGCAGAUCUUAUAAAUAGAAGUGCUGUGAAGCAGAUGGUUUGCUUCCACCACAAACACCAUUUUGAUAGGCACAACUGAGAAGUAGCUUCUGACAAUAUGCGCAUAUAUGCAUAUAUACACACUAUGCAUACGUGAGCAUAAGCUAGCAACUGUACCUUGAAUACAGGCUAUGGUACAGCACUUAUACCUACUCCUGUAUUCAUUCAUUUUUUAGCCAGAAUGUGUGUUUAUGAACAUUCAUUUUAUAUUUCAGCAAUAUACAUCUUGCAAAAUUUCCGUUCUCCCACUGCUCGUUUACCUACAUAUUAACCACUUGUGAAAAUCCCUUUUCUCAUCACUUCAGCUCAGAGAAGCAGUCCAUGACCCUUGCAAUAAACCUCAAAGAAAAUUUAAGGAUUUUUGGGUGGAGGUACCUGGCCAAAAAACUGUUGGGAAUGAAGGUGGGGAUGUAGUUGACAGGGGAUAGCUGGGAGAUCCUAGGAGAUAUAGGCUUCCUCUGUCCACCAUCAUAAAUUUAAGCUGGAGAAUGCUUUCUACUUUUUUUUUGAGGUGCCAUGCUCUUCCUGUUCCUCACCACAACUCCUGUCAGUCCCUUCUUAUAGCACCUUAUGGGAACAGAGUCCAGGAGUUUGCUGGGGAGGCAAUAUGGGAAGGAGAACAAGGGAGAAGUUUGAGAGUUUUUGGCUUGUGACAGAUCAUUAACAGAAGAGUUGAUUGUCUGGCUCUCCCAGUCCUGAACUGCUUUGUCCUACUAAAGCAGCAACAAAUAACACAAAGCAUUAAUGCAAGGUAUAUUGAUAAAAAGUUGGAGUAGAAGAGCUUCCCUUGAUUUGUUUGGCUGUUUUCAUCUUGCAAUACAGUGAAUAAUAGUAGAAAAAUCACUUACUACUCAAAAUCCAGGUAAAGAAACAUUCUGUGGGGUUUGCCUCAGCCACGUAUGUCUAUUCCUUGCACCCAAAAUGAAGAAAAGGUAAUUAAUUAAUAGUGAAGUUCAAUAUAGAAAUGGAUUUCCUUAAAAAAAUAUUAGAAACUAAAAACUAAAAAUGGGGACUGAAAACCCAUAAUUUAGAACAAUUUCACAAAAUGAAAUUUUUAAAAUGCUUCAU